rnacentral:rRNA from 1 species
GGACGAACGCUGGCGGCGUGCUUAACACAUGCAAGUCGAGCGGUAAGGCCCUUUCGGGGGUACACGAGCGGCGAACGGGUGAGUAACACGUGGGUGACCUGCCCUCAGCUCUGGGAUAAGCCUGGGAAACCGGGUCUAAUACUGGAUAUGACUCCAUGACGCAUGUUGUGGGGUGGAAAGCCUUGUGCGGUUGAGGAUGGGCCCGCGGCCUAU